GAUGAACGCUAGCGGCAGGCUUAAUACAUGCAAGUCAAGGGGUAGCAAUACAACCGGCGCACGGGUGAGUAACGCGUACACAACAUACCAUAUACUGGAGUAUAGCUUUGGGAAACUGAAGGUAAUCCUCCAUAACAUUGCGAGAGGGCAUCUGAUUGCAAUUAAAGUUUCGGCGGUAUAUGAUUGGUGUGCGUUUGAUUAGCUAGUUGGUAGGGUAACGGCCUACCAAGGCGACGAUCAAUAGCUGGCGUGAGAGCGCGACCAGCCACACUGGAACUGAGACACGGUCCAGACUCCUACGGGAGGCAGCAGUAGGGAAUAUUGGACAAUGGAGGAAACUCUGAUCCAGCCAUGCCGCGUGAUAGAUGAAGGCCCUCUGGGUUGUAAAUAUCUUUUAUCUGGGAAGAAAUACUCCUAUUCUUAGGAACUUGACGGUACCAGAGGAAUAAGCACCGGCUAACUCCGUGCCAGCAGCCGUCGGUAAU
rnacentral:rRNA from 1 species